rnacentral:tRNA from 1 species
AGUAUUUUUUGCGGACUUUUAAUCCGUUGGUCACAAGUUCGAAUCUUGUACGUCCUA